rnacentral:tRNA from 1 species
GGUUUUCAAGAAUAAAUUUUUCGUUUUGCCUUGAAAGCAAGAAGAGGGGUAGAGGAAAUCCCCGAAAACCU